GCUGGGUGCGGUGGCUCACACCUGUAAUCCCAGCACUUUGGGAGGCUGAGAUGGGUGGAUCACCUGAGGUCAGGAGUUCGGGACCAGCUUGGCCAAAAUGGUGAAACCCCAUCUCUA
rnacentral:SRP_RNA from 1 species